GCCGGGUGUGGUGGCUCACGCCUGUAAUCCCAGCACUUUGGGAGGCUGAGGUGGGUGGAUCACCUGAGGUCAGGAAUUUGAGACCAGCCUGGCCAACAUGGUGAAACCCCAUCUCUA
rnacentral:sRNA from 1 species